rnacentral:rRNA from 1 species
GACGAACGCUGGCGGCGUGCUUAACACAUGCAAGUCGAACGGAAAGGCCCUGCUUUUGUGGGGUGCUCGAGUGGCGAACGGGUGAGUAACACGUGAGUAACCUGCCCUUGACUUUGGGAUAACUUCAGGAAACUGGGGCUAAUACCGGAUAGGAGCUCCUGCUGCAUGGUGGGGGUGGGAAAGUUUCGGAGGUUGGGGAUGUACUCGCGGCUUAUCCGCUUGUUGGUGGGGUAGUGGCUUACCAAGGCGUUGACGGGUAGCCGGCCUGAGAGGGUGACCGGCCACAGUGGGACUGAGAUACGGCCCAGACUCCUACGGGAGGCAGCAGUGGGGAAUAUUGCACAAUGGGCGGAAGCAGGAUGCAGCAACGCCGCGUGCGGGAUGACGGCUUUCGGGUUGUAAACCGCUUUCGCCUGUGACGAAGCGUGAGUGACGGUAAUGGGUAAAGAAGCACCGGCUAACUACGUG